rfam:Pelodiscus sinensis unplaced genomic scaffold scaffold5465, whole genome shotgun sequence.
GCUCCAGUGGCGCAAUGGGUCAGUGUGCAGUACUUGUAGGAGAUAUGCUGAGGUUGUGAGUUCAAAUCUCACCUGGGGCA